AUUGAACGCUGGCGGCAGGCCUAACACAUGCAAGUCGAGCGGCAGCAGGGGGCUUGCUCCUGGAUUCAGCGGCGGGCGGGUGAGUGAUGCCUAGGAAUCUGCCUGGUGGUGGGGGAUAACGUCCGGAAAAGGGCGCUAAUACCGCAUACGUGCUGAGGGAGAGAGAGGGGGGUCUUCGGACCUCACGCGAUCAGAUGAGCCGAGGUCGGAUUAGCUAGUUGGUGGGGUAAAGGCCUACCAAGGCGACGAUCCGUAGCUGGUCUGAGAGGACGAUCAGCCACACUGGAACUGAGACACGGUCCAGACUCCUACGGGAGGCAGCAGUGGGGAAUAUUGGACAAUGGGCGAAGGCCUGAUCCAGCCAUGCCGCGUGUGUGAAGAAGGUCUUCGGAUUGUAAAGCACUUUAAGUUGGGAGGAAGGGCAGGAAGUUAAUACCGUGCUGUUUUGACGUUACCAACAGAAUAAGCACCGGCUAACUUCGUG
rnacentral:rRNA from 1 species